CCGAACCUGACACCAUCAGCCUGGGCAGCAGGACCACAAGGGGCGUACUUAGCUCUGAUGGGGGCAGCUCACACGCACGCACACUUCCUUGUGAGUGCGCAGACCGGGUGCGUGGGAUGGUUCUCUCCCAUCUCUGUACUCAACAGUCAUGAUAAAGGUCUCUCCUACUGAUGGAAGCUGUUUCCUGGGUGAGAUGAAUGUGGCCAUCAGCGGCCUCCAGUUCAGAGGGACUCCUGUAACACUGAAACAUUCCAUGGGACAUUGUGUCUGGCCUAUGAGGAGGAACAUUCCAGAAGCAACUGCAGUCAGAAGCAACCUUAGCUCAACUGUAGCCACACCAUGGGGCAGCCUUGGGAAUCUGGACAGUGCUCAACACAGGGCCAACACCAUGUCCCUGAUGCCUGUCUGCUGGAAAGGGGGGGGGAGUGACUCCUGUGGGUCCUCCAGCAGGAGUUCCUCUGCAGUGGAACCAGAGAAGAUGUGACAGAGGACAGCCUGCUUCUCAUGUCCUGUUCCCUGAGCUUGUAGAGGGCAUCGAGCUGUGGGUCUAGACGCAGGGAAAUGAUGCUGAUUAGACACACAGUGAUUUGGGGACAUGAAGGAGAGGUGACUACUAGAGUUAGGUGCACUGAAUGGGGAGAUGCAGCCUCGGGCCCAGGAGCAGGUGCCUCCAGAAGCCAUAAGAAGAAAGAUGCAGAGACCUCCAUGAACCUUCCGAUGGAACUCCUCCAAUACCUUGGUUUUGGCUCUA